AUGAUCCCCGCCCUGCUAGUUCUCGCCGGACUCAUUACCGGGGUGCGUGCGGCAGCACCUCCUCCGGUGCCGGUGCCGGUGCCGCCGAAGGUUCCCGCAGCUCCCCCGGCUGCUGCCGGGCCGCUCAAGUACCCCGCAAUCCUUGCUUUCGGUGACUCGAUUAUAGACACAGGUAACAACAACUAUAUCAGGACAAUCGUUAGGGCCAACUUCCCGCCCUACGGCAGGGACUUCCCCGGUCACAAGGCCACCGGCCGGUUCUCGGACGGUAGGAUCAGUGUUGACUUCCUAGCGGCGGCACUUGGUGUGAAGGAGAAUGUCCCGCCGUACCUGAAGAAGGACCUCACCCUCGACGACCUCAAGACCGGUGUCAGCUUCGCAUCGGCCGGGAGCGGCUACGAUAACGCCACCUGCAGGACCAUGUCGGCGCUGACGAUGGAGCAGCAGCUGAAGAUGUUCCUGGAGUACAAGGCCAAGGUGGGGACUAUCCCGAACCAGGCCCUCUACCUCCUCGUGUGGGGCAGCAACGACGUCGUGGAGCACUUCACCUUCGGAGACCCCAUGUCGGUGGAGCAGUACAGCGACUUGAUGUCCCAGCGUGCCAUCACCUUCAUCCAGACACUCAUCAGCCUCGGCGCCAAGAGGAUCGCCCUGACGGGGGCGCCGCCAGUCGGCUGCGUGCCGUCGCAGCGCAUUCUCUCUGGCGGGAUCCGGCGGCAGUGCUCCCCGGAUCGUAACCAGCUAGCGAGCAUGUUCAACAACAAGAUCAAGGGCAAGACGGCCACGCUCGGCGCCAAGCUCCCUGGCGUCACGCUCACAUUCAUCGACCUCUACGCCAUCUUUGAGGACGUGAUCCACCGGCACGAGGCGCUCGGGUUCAAGAAUGCCAGGGACUCGUGCUGCGGUUUCAUUGGGCUGGCGGUGGCCGUGCUCUGCAACUUCGCCAGCCCGGUCUGCGCCGAACCCGCCAAAUACGUCUUCUGGGACAGCUACCACCCCAGCUCCAGUGCCUACAAGGUCAUCAUCGACUUGGUCGUCGAAAAAUACUUCAGAUAG
rnacentral:rRNA from 1 species